UACGAAGGGGGCUAGCGUUGCUCGGAAUUACUGGGCGUAAAGGGAGCGUAGGCGGAUAGUUCAGUCAGAGGUGAAAGCCCAGGGCUCAACCUUGGAACUGCCUUUGAUACUGGCUAUCUUGAGUUUGGGAGAGGUGUGUGGAACUCCGAGUGUAGAGGUGAAAUUCGUAGAUAUUCGGAGGAACACCAGUGGCGAAGGCGGCUCACUGGUCCGGUACUGACGCUGAGGUGCGAAAGCGUGGGGAGCAAACAGG
rnacentral:rRNA from 1 species